GACGAACGCUGGCGGCGUGCCUAACACAUGCAAGUCGAACGAAGCUUGACGAAUGAUUUCUUCGGAAUGAAAUCUGAUAUGACUGAGUGGCGGACGGGUGAGUAACGCGUGAGCAACCUGCCCUUCGGAACGGGAUAGUGUCUGGAAACGGACAGUAAUACCGUAUAACGUAUUUUUACCGCAUGAUAGAAAUACCAAAACUGAGGUGCCGAAGGAUGGGCUCGCGUCUGAUUAGAUAGUUGGUGGGGUAACGGCCUACCAAGUCGACGAUCAGUAGCCGGACUGAGAGGUUGAACGGCCACAUUGGGACUGAGACACGGCCCAGACUCCUACGGGAGGCAGCAGUGGGGAAUAUUGCACAAUGGGGGAAACCCUGAUGCAGCAACGCCGCGUGAAGGAAGACGGUUUUCGGAUUGUAAACUUCUGUUCUUAGUGAAGAAUAAUGACGGUAGCUAAGGAG
rnacentral:rRNA from 1 species